rnacentral:rRNA from 1 species
UACGUAGGGUGCGAGCGUUAAUCGGAAUUACUGGGCGUAAAGCGUGCGCAGGCGGUCUGUUAAGACCGAUGUGAAAUCCCCGGGCUUAACCUGGGAACUGCAUUGGUGACUGGCAGGCUUUGAGUGUGGCAGAGGGAGGUAGAAUUCCACGUGUAGCAGUGAAAUGCGUAGAGAUGUGGAGGAAUACCGAUGGCGAAGGCAGCCCCCUGGGCCAAUACUGACGCUCAUGACACGAAAGCGUGGGGAGCAAACAGG